CAGAGGUCCCGAGCGUUGUUCGGAUUCACUGGGCGUAAAGGGUGCGUAGGUGGUGGGGUAAGUCGGAUGUGAAAUCUCCGGGCUCAACCCGGAAAACGCAUUGGAAACUACCUUGCUAGAGGUUUUGAGGGGGGACUGGAAUUCUCGGUGUAGCAGUGAAAUGCGUAGAUAUCGAGAGGAACACCGGUGGCGAAGGCGAGUCCCUGGAAAACACCUGACACUGAGGCACGAAAGCUAGGGGAGCAAACAGGAUUAGAUACCCUGGUAGUCCUAGCCCUAAACGGUGCUUGCUUGCUGUAAGUGGAAUCGACCCCACUUGUGGCGGAGCUAACGCGUUAAGCAAGCCGCCUGGGAAGUACGGUCGCAAGAUUA
rnacentral:rRNA from 1 species